AUGCUUCAUGCUAGUGCGACUUCCUCAUGUCAUGACUUACCUAUUUAUGAUGAAUAUGAUGACGAGCAUGUCGAGUUGCCUAGUUGUGAUGUUAUGCUCCAUAGGAUAUCAUGUGAAAAUUCUUUUGGUCACAUCAUGUUUGACAAUCCAUCAACCUUGUCAUAUGCUAUGAGUGAGAUAUCCCAUAUUGCAUCUUUUCAAUCUCAACAUAGUGACUAUGCAUGCCCCAUUACAAUAAAUCCCAUUUGCACUUAUGGCAUAGAUGACGAGAUGAUGGUCAUUGGCUUUUGUUUUUCAUGUUAUGAUAUUGCCAUGCUUCCUUUACAUGAUUUGCGCAAUUCAUCUACUAUGCCAUGCCAUGAUCACAUAGAACCAAAUAUGCUUUGUUUUGGAUGUUGUCAAUAUUCUCCAUGUGAUGUUUCCACUAAUGAUCAUGAGGAGACCCCCAUAGUUUCCCCCUACAUAUUAGGAGAUUUUGAUGCAUUCCAUACAUUGCAUGAUUCUCAUAAUUGCUUGCACCAUAUGCAUUCCAUGAAUAACAAUGCUCUACAUAUUCUUGUGAUGCAUUACACAAUUUGA
rnacentral:rRNA from 1 species